UGCAGCCGAACGGCAGCACGAUCUUCGGAUUGGUGGCGAGUGGCGCACGGGUGCGUAACGCGUAGGCAACCUACCGUUGACUGGGGGAUAGCCCGGGGAAACUCGGAUUAAUACCCCAUGGUAUGGGAUGAUCACCUGAUCAACUCAUUAAAGAUUUAUCGGUCAACGAUGGGCCUGCGUCCGAUUAGCUAGUUGGUAAGGUAACGGCUUACCAAGGCGACGAUCGGUAGGGGGUCUGAGAGGAUGAUCCCCCACACUGGUACUGAGAUACGGACCAGACUCCUACGGGAGGCAGCAGUAGGGAAUAUUGGGCAAUGGGUGAGAGCCUGACCCAGCCAUGCCGCGUGCAGGAAGACGGCCCUCUGGGUUGUAAACUGCUUUUAUGAGGGAACAAAAGGGUCCUGCGGGACAGAUUGCGUGUACCUCACGAAUAAGCACCGGCUAACUCCGUGCCAGCAGCCGCGGUAAUACGGAGGGUGCAAGCGUUGUCCGGAUUUAUUGGGUUUAAAGGGUACGUAGGCGGAAGGCUAAGUCCGAGGUGAAAGCCCCCAGCUCAACUGGGGAGGUGCCUUGGAUACUGGUCAUCUUGAGUGCCGUAGAGGUAGGCGGAAUUCAUGGUGUAGCGGUGAAAUGCAUAGAUACCAUGAGGAACACCGAUAGGGAAGCCAGCUUACUAGACGGUUACUGACGCUGAGGUACGAAAGCGUGGGGAGCGAACAGGAUUAGAUACCCUGGUAGUCCACGCUGUAAACGAUGCUCACUCGAUGUAUGCGAUAUACGGUAUGCGUCU
rnacentral:rRNA from 1 species